GUCUCUUCAGCAGCACAUAUACUAAAACUGGACAACAAAGAGAAGACUAGCAUGGUCCCUGGGCAAGAAUGACACAUAAAUUCAUAAACUGUUCUGUAUUUUU
ensembl:snRNA U6 U6 spliceosomal RNA